rnacentral:rRNA from 1 species
UAGGGAAUCUUGGACAAUGGGCGAAAGCCUGAUCCAGCCAUGCCGCGUGAGUGAUGAAGGCCUUAGGGUUGUAAAGCUCUUUCGCCAGGGAAGAUAAUGACGGUACCUGGAUAAGAAGCCCCGGCUAACUUCGUGCCAGCAGCCGCGGUAAUACGAAGGGGGCUAGCGUUGUUCGGAAUUACUGGGCGUAAAGCGCACGUAGGCGGCUUUCCAAGUUGGAGGUGAAAUCCCCGGGCUUAACCCGGGAACUGCCUCCAAAACUGAAAGGCUAGAGUCCGAGAGAGGUGAGUGGAAUUUCCAGUGUAGAGGUGAAAUUCGUAGAUAUUGGAAAGGACACCAGUGGCGAAGGCGGCUCACUGGCUCGGUACUGACGCUGAGGUGCGACAGCGUGGGGAGCAAACA